rnacentral:rRNA from 1 species
AGUGGUUGUAGACGCGAAACCUUGCGAUCUACCCUUGAGCAGGUUGAAGGUUGGGUAAAACCAACUGGAGGACCGAACGAAUAAGCGUUGAAAAGCUUCUCGAUGACUUGAGGGUAGGGGUGAAAGGCUAAUCAAGCUGGGAAAUAGCUCGUACUCCCCGAAAUGCCUUUUGGGGCAGCGUUGUAAUAAAGAGUCUACUGGAGGUAGAGCUACUGAUUGGAUGCGGGGGCUUCACCGCCUACCAAAUCCUGACAAACUCCGAAUGCCAGUAGUAUGAUUUACAGCAGUGAGUGACUGGGUGCUAAUGUCCAGUCGCAAAAGAGGAACAACUCAGACCAGCAACUAAGGUCCCGAAGAAUAUGCUAAGUUGAUCUAACGAUGUUUUGUUGCAGAGACAGCUAGGAUGUUAGCUUGGAAGCAGCUAUUCAUUCAAAGAGUGCGUAACAGCUCACUAGUCGAGCGACAGAGCGUGGAUAAUAAACGGGCAUCAAGCAUAUCACCGAAGUUCUGGGCGCGAGAGCGCGGUAGGGGAGCAUUCCAUUCAGCGUCGAAGCAGUUUCGUGAGGAAUUGUGGAGCGUAUGGAAAAGCAAAUGUAGGCAUGAGUAACGAUAAUGCGGGAGAGUAACCCGCACACCGCAAGACCAAGGUUUCCUGAUCAACGCUAAUCGGAUCAGGGUUAGUCGGGUCCUAAGGGUAAGCCGAACGGCGAUCUCGAUGGAUAAUCGGUUAAUAUUCCGAUACUAACAUAUACCUCGAUGGAGAGACGAAGGAACGUAAGUGCCGCCACCUGACGGAAUAGGUGGUUAAAGGGCGUAGAUAUAGGGGCAGAUUAAGAGUUAGUCCUUGCUGAAACCUGACAGUACAGAGAGCCUACGGGCAAUUUGAUAGAGCACCCAAGUCGACUUCCGAGAAAAUCUUCUAAGUUAUAGUAUAUGUUACCCGUACCGUAAACCGACACAGGUGGUCGAGGAGAGUAUCCUAAGGUGCUCGAGUGAAUCACGGUUAAGGAACUAGGCAAAUUAACCCCGUAACUUCGGGAAAAGGGGUCCCUAUGAAAGUAGGGCGCAGCGAAGAGGUCCAGGCGACUGUUUAUCAAAAACACAGGGCUCUGCAAAUUCGAAAGAAGACGUAUAGGGCCUGACACCUGCCCGGUGCUGGAAGGUUAAGAGGGGAUGUCAUCGCAAGAGAAGCAUUGAAUCGAAGCCCCAGUAAACGGCGGCCGUAACUAUAACGGUCCUAAGGUAGCGAAAUUCCUUGUCGGGUAAGUUCCGACCUGCACGAAUGG